GUUUAAUUUGUUUACAUUUUGGUUUAUUGAUUUAUUUAUUCAUUCACUAAAGUAUUUUAUUUACUCGCCGCUGUUGCUGCCGUUUAACGCGUUUCAUUAAAGGCGAGUUUCAAUGUUGUGUUGCUGAUUGUUGUUUACUACCUUGGCGCACGUGUGGGCGUGGUCGUUGCCUGUCUUUUUAUUUUGUGAUUUUGAUAUUUAACGAUUUUGUAUGAUAUUGUUUUUAUUUUUGAUGUCUGCUAAAACUGCAUGCAAAUUUUGCGUGCGACGGCAGCUGCUGCUGUUGCUGCUGAAAACCGCUAAAAGCAACAACUAUACAAAUCCAUAUAUCAUGCUUAUAAGCACCCAUGACAUCAGAGUCUCAGAGAGAGAGAGACGCCACACGACGAUGUGAUCGACGCUGCCUUGAAUUUCCACGGCCUGGCUACAACAUUGUAUGAUGUAUGAGGCAGACAAGAAACGAGGGAGAGAGAGGGGGGAGAGAGAGGUGUGUAGCGAUCUCUGGGGGCCUCAGCUGCUUUUGUUGUCGAAUGCGAAUCCGAAACAAAAACAAAGAAAAACACAACAUGAAAAAAACGCAUUAAAAAUUAUAGCGUUUGCUACUUUUUAAAAAUUGUA